GCCUACCAAGGCAUCGAUCAGUAGCUGGUCUGAGACGACGACCAGCCACACUGGAACUGAGACACGGUCCAGACUCCUACGGGAGGCAGCAGUGGGGAAUUUUGGACAAUGGGCGAAAGCCUGAUCCAGCAAUGCCGCGUGAGUGAAGAAGGCCUUCGGGUUGUAAAGCUCUUUUGUCAGGGAAGAAACGGUGAGAGCUAAUAUCUCUUGCUAAUGACGGUACCUGAAGAAUAAGCACCGGCUAACUACGUGCCAGCAGCCGCGGUAAUACGUAGGGUGCAAGCGUUAAUCGGAAUUACUGGGCGUAAAGCGUGCGCAGGCGGUUUUGUAAGUCUGAUGUGAAAUCCCCGGGCUCAACCUGGGAAUUGCAUUGGAGACUGCAAGGCUAGAAUCUGGCAGAGGGGGGUAGAAUUCCACGUGUAGCAGUGAAAUGCGUAGAUAUGUGGAGGAACACCGAUGGCGAAGGCAGCCCCCUGGGUCAAGAUUGACGCUCAUGCACGAAAGCGUGGGGAGCAGACAGGAUUAGAUACCCUGGUAGUCCACGCCCUAAACGAUGUCUACUAGUUGUCGGGUCUUAAUUGACUUGGUAACGCAGCUAACGCGUGAAGUAGACCGCCUGGGGAGUACGGUCGCAAGAUUAAAACUCAAAGGAAUUGACGGGGACCCGCACAAGCGGUGGAUGAUGUGGAUUAAUUCGAUGCAACGCGAAAAACCUUACCUACCCUUGACAUGGCUGGAAUCCCCGAGAGAUUGGGGAGUGCUCGAAAGAGAACCAGUACACAGGUGCUGCAUGGCUGUCGUCAGCUCGUGUCGUGAGAUGUUGGGUUAAGUCCCGCAACGAGCGCAACCCUUGUCAUUAGUUGCUACGAAAGGGCACUCUAAUGAGACUGCCGGUGACAAACCGGAGGAAGGUGGGGAUGACGUCAAGUCCUCAUGGCCCUUAUGGGUAGGGCUUCGCACGUCAUACAAUGGUACAUACAGAGCGCCGCCAACCCGCGAGGGGGAGCUAAUCGCAGAAAGUGUAUCGUAGUCCGGAUUGUAGUCUGCAACUCGACUGCAUGAAGUUGGAAUCGCUAGUAAUCGCGGAUCAGCAUGUCGCGGUGAAUACGUUCCCGGGUCUUGUACACACCGCCCGUCACACCAUGGGAGCGGGUUUUACCAGAAGUAGGUAGCUUAACCGUAAGGAGGGCGCUUACCACGGUAGGAUUCGUGACUGGGGUGAAGUCGUAACAAGGUA
rnacentral:rRNA from 1 species